UCAAUGGGUAUACCUUCCUAUUCUGUGACUAGGCGUACUGUUCCAGUACUUCGUAUUAAUGUACAACUAAAUGAACUAAUUAUUAAAAAGUAAACAGACCUUUAAACUGAAGAACUUGAUUGGCUUGUAUACAUUGGUUUCUUUGUCAUAUAGUUCAAUUGCUGUUGCUUGUAAAUGUUUUAUAAACCAGUACUGCGAAGUAGCGAAAUUUCGGGCCGUCUUUCACAACAAAUAACAUCACAAUAACUGCACAUCAUUUUCUCUUUAACACAGAAUCAUUUUCCCCGUCCAUUGAGUUAUAAUUUCCAAAACGAACCAGUCGCUAUAACGUAAAAUAAGCGGGUAUUUGUGAACAAAAAUGCCCUUUGAUAUAACACGAGGUAACCAGCGCCAUCUUGUCUUCUCCAAACAUUACAGAUUUUCCCGCCAAAACCCGCCCCCAAAGUCCCGUAUGUACCUGACGUCACAAGUGUCAUCGACGGGGGGGACUACCAUAUUUGGUGGUAAAAUUUUUUCAAAAAUACGCACUAAAUCCAAUUUUAAUCUCUUUACCUUCGCUACUUUUGCUUUCCACAUGCCAACAAAACUAGCUUCAUAUACACAUACAUAGCAUACGCUUUAUAAAAUACUUAAAAAAAUGGACCUAAACAAUAUUGGAGCGACAACAAUUUUGGAAAGUUUCUCCGGAAAUUUUUUUUUGACAACUCGGGCACAAUCCGACAAAGUCGGGCAAAUUUCUUUCCACCCCCUUAUUUUUUCCUUCCCGUACGCCCAUGACGAUUGUUGUAUGCAACUUGUUGACACCAUCCCUGCGACACAAAUUGUGCCGUAUAGAUAGCCCUACAACUUGCUUAUGACAGUCGUAUGCAACACAAAAAAGUUGUAAAUAUUUUAAAUACAUUUUUAUGAAAAAAUAGUUCAAAAUGGC